AGUUUCAGGAAGGCCAAAAAAGGCAUUAUUAUUAGAAUAGUACCAGCAACCUAUUUCUUCCAGUACACUUUUCCUUGAGUUAAAGCUGGUAAUCUUUUUAAUCUUGGUAAAUUCUUUAGGUUUCAUGUUUGAUAGCUAUAAUUCUGGAACCUCCCAAAACUACCUUAAUUAGAGGCAUGUUGGAAUGUGUUUGAAAUUUUUCUGCUGUAGUUGAGUUACUUCUGGCAGUAUUAUGUAAUCUUAAGGAUAUGCACUUUCUGCAGGGAAUCAAGCUUUCUUGCUAGCUUUUACUUAUUUUUUUAGUGUUCCAUUCUCACCCCUGGAGAGAAUAGUAAUCCAAAUAUAAACUGUCGUUAGGCUUUUGCAGAUGUUUAGAACUUUAGGUCUUGCUAACGCUAACCUUCCAAUGUUCUACCUUGUUUUUGAAGGUCAGAACUGCUGUUGCAACCAAAUUGAAAUUUCACUAAGUUAGACUCUGGCAACAGAAAGCUAAAUGAAAUAGUACAAGGUCUAGUGUUUUGUUUCUUGGUGCUUUGAAAUGCCAUUGUACAGUAGCUACAUAGUUGGCUUUCUGUGUGAUUUUUUUUCAUGAGCUGAUUUCUAGAUAUAAUUUUAUAUGGGUGAAAAGUGUUCAUCAGUCCCUGGGAGGAAUAAAGUAUUUGAUUAGUAGUGGGGCUUUUAUGCUAUCCUACAGAACUAUAGCCACAAAAACAAAGAUCAAACAACCUCAUUCCUUUGGCUCAAACUACAACCCUGCUUGAGAUGUUCCAUGACCACUGUGCUUUCCCCGUUUCUUUUAGGUCACUCAUGGCCCAAUUUGUUUUUUUAUUUUUGAAGUUUCAGAUAUAUAAUGACUUUGAGUUAUUUUCAGCCCCUCAUUAUCUUCUCUCAUCCCUCCUAGUCUUGAUGAAACCUCAGAAACCCUCCUCUUUCCGAGAAGGGCACAUCCUACUUUCUUUGGUGUUUAUUUGUCUUGUUGAGAGAUUGGUAACGUUUCAUUAUGGGUGAGGGAGAAGUUCACCAGGCCCACCUUUCCCAAGGGGAUAUUGAUUGUCAGUAGUUACUGUGGGAGAAGAUGACAUUUGCUUUAGUGGUGCAGCCAUUGAUAAACUCUAGUUCAUGCUCUAGUAAGUAACAUGGCUUCUCUUUUAAAGAGGCUUCAGUUAUAUAGCCUAGGCUGUCCUCAAACUUGUGAUCUUCAUUCCUCAUUCUCCGAGUGCUGGGUUACAGGUAUGUGCCACCCUGGGUUCAUCACUUGGUAUUUCAUAGAGAACAUCAAUUCUGGCUUCUCUGUGUGCAGAAUCUUUAUUUUCUGACUGCUUCCAUUUGUGUCUUGCAUAGAGAAUUUCUUUUGUCUGCCAAGCCAUUUUUUUCUGGUGUCAUCUUGAAAGAGCUAGAAAUUUUACCUCCUUCAUUAAACUCUACUGGCCUGACUGUCAUGGAAGAGACAGUUCCCUGAGUCAUAGAUCAUGUAAACACUUCUCCCUGUCAGUUUAUGUAGAUGUUUAGUGUUUUAUGCUGCUGUCUUGGUAUCUUUGUGGGAGAGUUAUAUUUGUUUUUUUUUUUUUUUUUUAGAUUUUUAAAAUCACAAAAUAAAGAAGUGCUUUCUGACUUUCUGGUUACUCAUUAUUAGAAGUCAGUAUUUAAUACAUUGUUCUUAGAUGGUAAUAUUGUUGGGGGAAAGUAUAUAAAUCACUUCUAUGAAAAUAUAUAACUCAUCCUGCUUAUUGAACUUGCUUAUAGGCAUCAGAAAUGAUACUUGGAUAUUCAACUUUUACAUUCUUGCUCAUACAAUAUUUACUCAUAGUGUUUUAGAAGAUUUAUUUUACUUUUCUAUAAAUCAGUCAGAUGAUACAAAGACUUGAAUUUAACACAGUAAUUUUUGUAUGCAUGAUGAUGUUGCCUUUGAAUUUAUAAGCCUUUGACUGCAGGAAACUUAAAUUUUAAUUGUUUCUUUUUUAAUUUUGAAAAUAACUUUUCAAUAGUUACCAUAAAUUUCUUUUAAAAAUCCUUACUAAACUACUUUAUUUAUUUACAUUAGAAAAUUUGCCCUGCUUUCUGCUCUACCCUGCCUGAGUUCUUCACCUCAUCUCCCCUGCCCCCACCUCUGAGAGGGUGCUCUCUCACCCACUCACCCAUUCCCACCGCACCCCCACCACCAUCCCUUUUCCCUGGGGCAUCAAGUUUCCACAGGAUUAGGCUCAUCCUCUGCCACUGAUGCCAUACAAGGCAGUCCUCUGCUAUACAUGUGCCUGGGGCCACAGACCAGCCCGUGUAUGCUCCUUGGUUUUUGGCUCACUCCCUGGGAGCUCUGAGGGGUCUGGGUUAGUUGACACUAUUGUUCUUCCUAUGGGGUUGCCAUCCCCUUCAGUUCCUUCAGUCCUUCCUCUAACUCUUCCAUAUUGGUCCUGGACCUCAAUCUAAUGGUUGGUUGUAAGUAUCUGUCUUUGUCUCAGUCAGUUGCUGAUAGAGUCUCUCAGAGAACAGCCGCGCCAGGCUCCUGUCUACAUACACAGUAUAGCUUCAGUAAUAGUGUAAGGAUUUGGUGUGCAUGCAUGGGAUGGAUCGCAAGUUGGACUAGUCACUGGAUGUCCUUUCUUUCAUUCUCUGCUCCAUUUUUGUUCUUGCAUUUCCUUUAGACAGGAACAAUUCUAGGUAAAAAAUCUGGAGAUAUGUGGGUGGCUCUCUGCCUCAACUGGGACCCAUGUCUAUUUACUGGAGGUUAACUAUCUGAACAAAAUUUUGUAGAAUACAGAUAAUACCUUCUACAAACAGAGUUCUGCCUGACUUUUCUUCUUUUUGUCAUAACCUACUCUGAGCACGAUCAAACUAGUCAUGUCCCCUGCUCACUACUGUACAAUAUUGUACCUUUGCUUCUUUCUGCUUAAAGGCACCUGAGUGUUUUCAAAGCAAAAAGGGGUCAAAUUUCC
rnacentral:lncRNA from 1 species